rnacentral:lncRNA from 1 species
AUAAGUGAAACAGCUCGAGCCGACCCGAGCUAUCUUCUCUCAUUUCCGACCAAAACCAAAAACCCUAGCCUCCGCUUGUUCUCCAUCACAAACCCUAGCCUCCUUCUCCACAUUUCCUUAGGAUUUCCACUUAAUGGCACCCAAAAGAGCUAGGACGACCCGUGGAAGGCGACCUAGGGCAGCGGCCGACGGUGAGGAACGGAGGGAAGAACCUUCCGCGCCGUCUCCUCCGGUUGCUCCGCCAACCACAACCAU